rnacentral:rRNA from 1 species
GACGAACGCUGGCGGCGUGCUUAACACAUGCCAGUCGAACGGAAAGGCCCUGCUUUUGUGGGGUGCUCGAGUGGCGAACGGGUGAGUAACACGUGAGUAACCUGCCCUUGAUUUUGGGAUAACUUCAGGAAACUGGGGCUAAUACCGGAUAGGAGCUCCUGCUGCAUGGUGGGGGUUGGAAAGUUUCGGCGGUUGGGGAUGGACUCGCGGCUUAUGAGCUUGUUGGUGGGGUAGUGGCUUACCAAGGCUUUGACGGGUAGCCGGCCGGAGAGGGUGACCGGCCACAGUGGGACUGAGAUACGGCCCAGACUCCUACGGGAGGCAGCAGUGGGGAAUAUUGCACAGUGGGCGGAAGCCUGAUGCAGCAGCGCCGCGUGCGGGAUGACGGCCUUCGGGUUGUAAACCGCUUUCGCCUGUGACGAAGCGUGAGUGACGGUAAUGGGUGAAGAAGCACCGGCUAACUACGUG